UCUUUGGUCAUUUAGAGGAAGUAAAAGUCGUAACAAGGUUUCCGUAGGUGAACCUGCGGAAGGAUCAUUACAAAUGUCUGGGAUGUCCUAUUGGACCCCCAAACAAACACAUCUAUGUGUACUCUGCCAUGUUGCUUCCCCAGACCAGUGGCCACUGCUGCCAGCCCAGCCCCUAAUUGGUUCCCGGGUUGAGGUGUCUGGGGAAGGGCUCAAUAUCAAACUUUUCAACAUAUUAGUCGUCUGAGAAGGCCAUGUGCCGCAAUAUUUAACCAAGUUAAAACUUUCAACAACGGAUCUCUUGGCUCUCGCAUCGAUGAAGAACGCAGCGAAAUGCGAUAAGUAAUGUGAAUUGCAGAAUUCAGUGAAUCAUCGAAUCUUUGAACGCACAUUGCGCCCUUUGGUAUUCCUUAGGGCAUGCCUGUUCGAGCGUCACUAAAAACCAACUCACAUAUCAUGUGGUAUUGGUAGAAGUGGAUAGUACUAACACUACUUUGUCUUACUCUGCUGAAAUGAAUAGGCCAGAAAAGUGGACCAUGGUAAUAGAUUCCAGGAGUGUUUUAAAAUGCUAUACUAGUCUUAUCCAAGUCAUAUUCUGAGCCACUGGACCCCCCAUUUAGUCCAAACAACAGAGGUUUGACCUCGGAUCAGGUAGGGAUACCCGCUGAACUUAAGCAUAUCAAUAAGCGGAGG
rnacentral:rRNA from 1 species